GACAGAGGUGCCAAGCGUUAGGCGGAAUCACUGGGCUUAAAGCGUGUGUAGGCGGGCGAUCAAGUACCUUGCGAAAUCCCACGGCUCAACCGUGGAACUGCUGGGUAUACUGGUUGUCUUGAGCCAGCUAGGGGCGAGCGGAACAGACGGUGGAGCGGUGAAAUGCGUAGAUAUCUGGAGGAACACCGGUGGCGAAGGCGGCAUCCUGGACCAAUUCUGACGCUGAGGAGCGAAAGCCAGGGGAGCAAACGGG
rnacentral:rRNA from 1 species